rnacentral:rRNA from 1 species
CACCUCGGCGGCCUCCUCUUCGGCGGCGCAACCAUCCAGAUCUUCCUCGAGGGCUCCUCCUUCCCCGGCGGAUUCAUCUCCUCGCCCGCCCCCGGCGUCGGCGGGGUCAGCCUCCUCGACUACUUCAUGGGAUCCGGCCUCAAGCAGCUCAUCCAGCAGCUCGCGGAGAACGACCGCAGCCGCUACGACACCCUGCCCACCGCCAAGGCUGCGGUUGCCGCCCUCCCUAAUGUCGCCGUCGAUGGGGGCGCCCAGCACGUCCUCCAAAAGGAUUGCAUCCUGCCAUGGCUUGACCUCCACAGCUCCUCCCUGUCUGCCGCCAUCUAUGUCCACCAGUGCCAGGCAGCUGCCGCUGCGGCGGCGGCACCUGUGGCCCCAGGUGGCGGCCCUUCGCCUAGGGUCAUGGUGAGGAGGUUCAGGAUCUCGCUGCCGUGGCCUCUCAGAGCCGCUUUUGGAGCUCAGCAGGCGGAGAGCAGCGACCAGGACGAUGCUGGCUAUGGCGACUACAAAAACGAUGGGAAUGCGAGCGGUCGCUCGUAUGAUGAUCUCGACUGA